AUCUGAACUGCAGAUUGACUGUGAUUUAACAUUCAGUCUAGAGGUAACAUUUGAUAAAUUGCGUCAAUCUGAGAAGGUGUUGCGCGACAUCAUCUUAAUGUGUUCAUGAAAGCAAGUAAUCCCGGGAUCCUACAGGGCUGGCUUCUUACAAUCCCAAAAUUCCGAAGAAUUGAAAUCAGUGCCGAUGAGACAAGUGUUCCUCUUUCCUAGUUAUUUUAUGAAGCAGUGGUUUGGACUGCAUGGCAUCAGAAUUUAUCAAACACAUAAUUUUGUGCGAACAUUCACCAUCAGAUGAAUUCACUCGCAGAUUGUAGAAAGCAUUUCAAUUAAGAUUAAGAAAUGAAGUGAAGAAGUAAGGAAAGCAUGAAAUUAUAUUGUGUAGAAGAAAAUGUGGUAUACAACAGGAUCAA